GUGUCAAAAAGAAAAUUACGCCAUCCGUUUGCACUCUCAUCCGCAAGCGGCAGGCGGCUUGCAUCUAUGAAAACACCAUUUACAUACUCAGGCUCAGCAUCAAAUACUACUUCCGCCUCCAAAUACUCGCACCCUAGCCCCUAGCCCCAGCAACCUUUUCUGUUUCUCCCCCAAACCCCUUCACUUCUGCUUCUGUCUGCUUAAAAAAAAAAUAUUUCUCUUUCAAUUCCGUCUUCAUUUGUCUACCCAGUUGCUUAUCUCGAUCUCUCUAUCUCACAACACCACUGUCUAAACCUCUCUCAACAAUUACUUUCUACAACCAAACCUUAUCGUAACUGUCCCACAAUCGGUCUAUGUUUCUAGGGUUAUCUACAAUUUGAACACAGUGAAGAAACUAGGGUGUCUGAAGUUCUCUGUUACAUUAAGGGUGGUCAAAAACAAUGAAUACUAUGCAAUUGUGGUCGAGAAAUAGCUGUAAUUCUUCGAAGUGAUGGUUUUAAUUUGUCGCUGCAAACGAUUGAAAAAGGGGAAAAUAAAUGAGAGAGGCAAUAACAGUGAGUUGGUUUUGGUUUUUGUUGAAUUACAAUCCAGUUUUGAGGAAAGUGGUGUAUACACAGUAAUGGGUUUGUGAUGUAGAAGGCAUGCCCAGCCGGUGCACCAAGCCGUAAUUUAGGUUUAGUUUCAGCGUUUGUUCUUUAUCAUGUUUUAGCUUAUAGAUAGGGCUUAGAUGAAGCCCUUAAGCUACUACUACUUUGUUAUGUGUUAAUGAUAUCGUUGUUGUUUUGCUUAAUUGAAUAUAGAUCGGUUCAAUUUUUGUGUUGCAACAUACAACUUUCACCAUGUUUGUCCUGCAACCUAGGUAGUUAGAACACUUCUAUGUUGUGCUUCAACUCAUGCUUAAUUGAUUCAAUUAAUAUGUGAUUAGUUGUGGUGUAAAAAGACAACUAAUGCUAGGGAAUGAUACCUUAGUUGAUAACUUGAUAUUGAACCAUCCACCUGACCUGAGGUUACCUUGGACACGCGACAGACUCAAGUAACAAGAAUAGUUUAAUAGCUGAAUUUCUUAGUGUAGGUUAUGUGGUGAAUUCGAUAUCUCUAGUGGCCCUUUAUCAGUUUUUAAAUCCUAUUUACAUUAUGUUUUCAAGUUGUACUUCAUAACAUUCGUUUAGUCGUAUCGACAAACCCCUUUAAUCUGAAUUAGUAUAGCAAGGCUCUGAAUUCAACUUCACACCAACCAAGUCUAUGUGGAAUCGACAUAUGAUUCUGGAUAAGUAUAUGAGAUUGAGCUAUGUGGGGCUUGAUUUUUAAGCUGGUGCUUAUACUUUUUAGAGCUUUUAUUAGCAAUACAACAGGUCAGACGCAUGAAUCCCUUAAACACGAGGUUAAGAAAGAAGGUAGCUUAACUUUAAUAAAAUUCGUCACAUGAAGUAGUGAAGCUGAGACGAGAAGAGUAGGAGCGGAAACAGAAAGAAGUCAGGAUCACUCUCAGUUGGACCAUCUGCUCUAUCUGAGAACAAACGCUAUCCAAGUCUGAAAAGGAGUCUUCGCCUGUUGCACAAAAUAAGCUUCAGAUUUUGGCUGGACAAGAUUAUGUUGAACUUGAAAGUUCUACAGCGAAUAUUAGGAAGCUUGUGGAGGCUUUGACAGAGAUUCUGAUCUGUGGUUGUUUUUCUCAAGUGAAGUCCAUUGAUUGAGUAUAUUCGUAUUCUUUGAUUCUAUCAACGGGUUUAUGGGUUUUUCAUAUUUUGUUCCUUGAUUGCAGACUAAUCACUAGAUUACCGUGUGCGGUGGGGGGCGGACCGAAGAAAAAGAAAUACACAGCUGAAUCCAACACAAGUGAUAC